rnacentral:rRNA from 1 species
UACGUAGGGUGCAAGCGUUGUCCGGAAUUAUUGGGCGUAAAGAGCUCGUAGGCGGUUUGUCGCGUCUGCUGUGAAAACCCGAGGCUCAACCUCGGGCCUGCAGUGGGUACGGGCAGACUAGAGGUGGCGGUAGGGGUGACUGGAAUUCCUGGUGUAGCGGUGGAAUGCGCAGAUAUCAGGAGGAACACCGAUGGCGAAGGCAGGUC